AACGUAGGUGGCAAGCGUUAUCCGGAUUUACUGGGCGUAAAGCGUGUGCAGACGGGGCUUCAAGUGGUGUAUGAAAUCGCUCGGCUCAACCGGGCGCGGGUAUGCCAGACUGGAGUGCUAGAGGGUGCGAGAGGGACGUGGAAUUCCGGGUGUAGUGGUGAAAUGCGUAGAGAUCCGGAGGAACACCAGUGGCGAAGGCGACACGCUGGGCCGUACCUGACGCUAAGACGCGACAGCAUGGGGAGCGAACGGG
rnacentral:rRNA from 1 species